rnacentral:rRNA from 1 species
CCGUGCAAAGGUAGCAUWWUCMCUUGUCCUUUAAAUGGGGGCUUGCAUGAAUGGCAUCACGAGGAUUAAACUGUCUCCCUCUUUCAAUCAGUGAAACUAAUCUCCCUGUGAAAAAGCAGGAAUGAUUAUAUAAGACGAGAAGACCCUAUGGAGCUUUAAACUAAAUAGUAUUUGCUUACMCUUUCUAACGAAUUAACACCAACAGCAUUUUACCUAUAAGUUUUUGGUUGGGGCGMCCCUGGAGAAAAACUCAUCCUCCAUGCUGAAAUAACUUAAAAUUUAAACCCAGAAGUCCCAACUUUCCGAAUCAGCAAAUUGACWUCKAUUGACCCAAAWAUUUGACCAACGAACMAAGUUACCCUAGGGAUAACAGYGCCWUCCACYUUGAGAGKACAUAUCGMCWAGUGGGCUUWCGAC